CGAAGGUGGCAAGCGUUGUUCGGAUUUACUGGGCGUACAGGGAGCGUAGGCGGUUCGGUAAGCCCUUUGUGAAAUCUCCAGGCUUAACCUGGAACAGUCGGAGGGGACUGCCGGGCUAGAGGGCGGGAGAGGAGCGCGGAAUUCCCGGUGUAGCGGUGAAAUGCGUAGAGAUCGGGAGGAAGGCCGGUGGCGAAGGCGGCGCUCUGGAACGUUUCUGACGCUGAGGCUCGAAAGCGUGGGGAGCAAACAGGAUUAGAUACCCUGGUAGUCCACGCCUUAAACUAUGAAUACUAAGUGUCGGCGGGUUACCGCCGGUGCCGCAGCUAACGCAUUAAGUAUUCCGCCUGGGAAGUACGGCCGCAAGGUUG
rnacentral:rRNA from 1 species